rnacentral:rRNA from 1 species
AUUGAACGCUGGCGGCAGGCCUAACACAUGCAAGUCGAGCGAGCGGCGGACGGGUGAGUAAUGUCUGGGGAACUGCCCGAUUGAGGGGGAUAACUACUGGAAACGGUAGCUAAUACCGCAUACCAUCAGAUGUGCCCAUAUGGGAUUAGCUAGUAGGUGAGGUAAUGGCUCACCUAGGCGACGAUCCCUAGCUGGUCUGAGAGGAUGACCAGCCACACUGGGACUGAGACACGGCCCAGACGCCUACGGGAGGCAGCAGUGGGGAAUAUUGGACAAUGGGCGAAGCCCUGAGCCAGCCAUCCCGCGUGUAUGAAGAAGGCCUUCGGGUUGUAAAGGACUUUUGGCAGAGAGGCGGUAUCUGCAGAAGAAGCACCGGCUAACUACGUGCCAGCAGACGCGGUAAUUC